rnacentral:rRNA from 1 species
CAGUAGCCGCGGUAAUACGAAGGGGGCUAGCGUUGUUCGGAAUUACUGGGCGUAAAGCGCACGUAGGCGGAUAUUUAAGUCAGGGGUGAAAUCCCAGAGCUCAACUCUGGAACUGCCUUUGAUACUGGGUAUCUUGAGUAUGGAAGAGGUGAGUGGAAUUCCGAGUGUAGAGGUGAAAUUCGUAGAUAUUCGCAGGAACACCAGUGGCGAAGGCGGCUAACUGGUCCAUAACUGACGCUGAGGUGCGAAAGCGUGGGGAGCAAACAGGAUUAGAUACCCCGUAGUCCCUGUCUCUUAUACA